rnacentral:rRNA from 2 species
CCCCGGUAAACGGCGGCCGUAACUAUAACGGUCCUAAGGUAGCGAAAUUCCUUGUCGGGUAAGUUCCGACCUGCACGAAUGGCGUAAUGAUGGCCAGGCUGUCUCCACCCGAGACUCAGUGAAAUUGAACUCGCUGUGAAGAUGCAGUGUACCCGCGGCAAGACGGAAAGACCCCGUGAACCUUUACUAUAGCUUGACACUGAACAUUGAGCCUUGAUGUGUAGGAUAGGUGGGAGGCUUUGAAGUGUGGACGCCAGUCUGCAUGGAGCCGACCUUGAAAUACCACCCUUUAAUGUUUGAUGUUCUAACGUGGACCCGUAAUCCGGGUUGCGGACAGUGUCUGGUGGGUAGUUUGACUGGGGCGGUCUCCUCCUAAAGAGUAACGGAGGAGCACGAAGGUUGGCUAAUCCUGGUCGGACAUCAGGAGGUUAGUGCAAUGGCAUAAGCCAGCUUGACUGCGAGCGUGACGGCGCGAGCAGGUGCGAAAGCAGGUCAUAGUGAUCCGGUGGUUCUGAAUGGAAGGGCCAUCGCUCAACGGAUAAAAGGUACUCCGGGGAUAACAGGCUGAUACCGCCCAAGAGUUCAUAUCGACGGCGGUGUUUGGCACCUCGAUGUCGGCUCAUCACAUCCUGGGGCUGAAGUAGGUCCCAAGGGUAUGGCUGUUCGCCAUUUAAAGUGGUACGCGAGCUGGGUUUAGAACGUCGUGAGACAGUUCGGUCCCUAUCUGCCGUGGGCGCUGGAGAACUGAGGGGGGCUGCUCCUAGUACGAGAGGACCGGAGUGGACGCAUCACUGGUGUUCGGGUUGUCAUGCCAAUGGCACUGCCCGGUAGCUAAAUGCGGAAGAGAUAAGUGCUGAAAGCAUCUAAGCACGAAACUUGCCCCGAGAUGAGUUCUCCCUGAGACUUAGAGUCUCCUGAAGGAACGUUGAAGACGACGACGUUGAUAGGCCGGGUGUGUAAGCGCAGCGAUGCGUUGAGCUAACCGGUACUAAUGAACCG